rnacentral:rRNA from 1 species
CAGUAGCCACGGUAAUACGUAGGUCCCGAGCGUUGUCCGGAUUUAUUGGGCGUAAAGCGAGCGCAGGCGGUUAGAUAAGUCUGAAGUUAAAGGCUGUGGCUUAACCAUAGUACGCUUUGGAAACUGUUUAACUUGAGUGCAAGAGGGGAGAGUGGAAUUCCAUGUGUAGCGGUGAAAUGCGUAGAUAUAUGGAGGAACACCGGUGGCGAAAGCGGCUCUCUGGCUUGUAACUGACGCUGAGGCACGAAAGCGUGGGGAGCAAACAGGAUUAGAUACCCCAGUAGUCCCUGUCUCUUAUACA